GGCGAACGGGUGAGUAACACGUGGGUAACCUGCCCAUCAGAAGGGAUAACGACUUGGAAACAGGUGCUAAUACCGUAUAACAAUAGAAACCGCAUGGUUUCUAUUUGAAAGGCGCUUUUGCGUCACUGAUGGAUGGACCCGCGGUGCAUUAGCUAGUUGGUGAGGUAACGGCUCACCAAGGCAACGAUGCAUAGCCGACCUGAGAGGGUGAUCGGCCACAUUGGGACUGAGACACGGCCCAA
rnacentral:rRNA from 1 species